AAGUCGUAACAAGGUUUCCGUAGGUGAACCUGCGGAAGGAUCAUUAACACGUAUCCAAACGUUAAAACCCCCCCCGUGAACCUUCAUCCUGCUCUUGUAACCCGCGUAGUUCGCAAUCUCUGAUAAAUCAUAGCCCGGAAAGUUGUAGUGAUUCAGAGACCUCUGGCUACGUGCGAACAUUGGAACAGUUACAAUCGAGCGGUAGUUCUAUAGGCAAUGUUUCCCCAAGCAGUCAGUGUCGGAAAUGUCAUUGAUUGUGCAAGGAUAGCGCUUCUACGAUUCCUGUAGACCGUACACUCGGGCAGGAGCUUUGCCAAAGGGUCCCCAUGCCCCCGAACAACUGUUAACAAUGGAUAUCUUGGUUUUC
rnacentral:misc_RNA from 1 species